rnacentral:rRNA from 1 species
UACAGAGGUCUCAAGCGUUGUUCGGAAUCACUGGGCUUAAAGGGCGCGUAGGCGGGCUGCCAAGUUUGGGGUGAAAUCCUCCGGCUCAACCGGAGCAGUGCCUCGAAUACUGGCGGUCUCGAGGGAGGUAGGGGCGUGCGGAACUGUGGGUGGAGCGGUGAAAUGCGUUGAUAUCCACAGGAACUCCGGUGGCGAAGGCGGCACGCUGGACCUUUUCUGACGCUGAGGCGCGAAAGCCAGGGGAGCGAACGGG